GUCCACGCCCUAAACGAUGUCAACUGGUUGUUGGGUCUUAACUGACUCAGUAACGAAGCUAACGCGUGAAGUUGACCGCCUGGGGAGUACGGCCGCAAGGUUAAAACUCAAAUGAAUUGACGGGGCCCGCACAAGCGGUGGAGCAUGUGGUUUAAUUCGAAGCAACGCGAAGAACCUUACCUACCCUUGACAUGCCAGGAACUUUCCAGAGAUGGAUUGGUGCCCGAAAGGGAGCCUGGACACAGGUGCUGCAUGGCUGUCGU
rnacentral:rRNA from 1 species